ACAACGCCAGGGUACAGAGGCACUGAGAAAUCUAUUUCCCCGCUGCAGCAACACCAAGGGCAACGGGAAAGUCGCCAGGUGACCCACGCAGGGUGUGCUGUGACCCGCGUUGAGAGUGAGGAGUGGGAGCCGUCACUGCUGUCCCCGAAGUUCCCUGGGUGUAACACCUGAGCUCCACAGCAGCUGCCCCAGGAAGUCUCGAGGGGACAAGGUGAAGAGCCACCCGACUGGACCCAGAUACAGCUAAAAGAAGGAAAGGAAAGAACCAUUCUGAUCUGUUUCCAUGAUCCAUAAUAUACUUCAGAUAGAAACAAAGGUUCUCCUCUUCCCAAUGUCGGGAGUUUGUCUUGAGGCUGACUUUGAGUGCCCACUAUCUGGUAUCCCCUUGUCAGUAAAGGUCUUUGAUUCUGCA
rnacentral:lncRNA from 1 species